rnacentral:sRNA from 1 species
AUGGAGUCUUUCCUCUUGGAUGACAUCAGCUCUGUGAUACAGAACAAAGGCAUUGAGAGAAUCAUCUCACCAAUGAUCGUUCAGCUUUGCCAUCUGCUCAUCUCAAUGGAGAGAAAAGAAGUGGAGAAUGAAGUAUUUGCCUCACUGGAGAAGAUGGCUGAGGAAUUGGCGAAAGCUUGUGAAGACUUCGUGCAAGUUGUCAAAAG